rnacentral:rRNA from 1 species
UACAGAGGGUGCGAGCGUUAAUCGGAAUCACUGGGCUUAAAGCGCGUGUAGGCGGGACGGCACGUCGGUCGCUGAAAUCCCCCGGCUCAACCGGGGAACGGGCGCCGAUACGACCGCCCUGGAGGGACGUAGGGGGACCUGGAACUUCCGGUGGAGCGGUGAAAUGCGUUGAGAUCGGAAGGAACGCCCGUGGCGAAAGCGAGGUCCUGGACGUUUACUGACGCUGAGGUGCGAAAGCGUGGGGAGCAAACAGG